rnacentral:lncRNA from 1 species
GAAGAUCAGAUUCAGUUGGUCUGGAUGAGCCUAGGGCUCUACAUUUGCCACAAUCUCCCCAGUGAUCCUGAGGGAGGAGAAACCCCAGGGAAAAUAUGGCUAAUGAGGAUGAAGAAAUAGACGAGAGGUGGAACUUCAGUGAAGAGGAAAACUCUUCCUAGCCUUGGUCCAGAGCGAGCACACUAAAACUCUGUCCUGAAAGAGUGAGCAAGGUAGCGAGGAGUGAAGAUGGGAGAAGGGAAGAACACCAGACCCCAAGGCAAUGAUCAAACUGCUUUGAAAGAUCUCCAAGUGUUUCUUGAACUCAUGGGGGAAACCCCCUCACUAGUAUUCUCUGCUGGUGCUUCUACACAACUGAAGACCUCACUGAACCUGGGAGCCUAUAGACAGACCUCAGUAGAGGCCUAAGAAGACACAGCUAAAUCAAAAUUGGACAAGGAAGAAAGAUGACAAUGUGUCUAUUGCCAUCAGGCAAUGUUAAUUUUAACUUUUAAGAUGUUUCUUGUAGGCCUUCCCCCACAUGUCACUCCCAUAGUACCGUUCUCUAGGAGAUAAAAGCUAUGUUCAUAAAAUAAUCUAUGUUGUUGGUUACUAAUUUAUUCUUCCAAUGAAAGUUGUUUGCACUUCAAUCACAACCUUUUAUAAACACUAACUUAAUCUAAAGUCAUGUAUCUGUUUGUAG